rnacentral:rRNA from 1 species
UACGUAGGGUGCAAGCGUUUGUCCGGAAUUAUUGGGCGUAAAGAGCUCGUAGGCGGUUUGUUGCGUCGGCUGUGAAAACCUGGGGCUCAACCCCGGGCCUGCAGCCGAUACGGGCAAGCUAGAAUUCGGUAGGGGAGACUGGAAUUCUUGGUGUAGCAGUGAAAUGCGUAGAUAUCAAGAGGAACACCAGUGGCGAAGGCGAGUCCCUGGACAACACCUGACACUGAGGCACGAAAGCCGGGGGGAGCAAACAGG